CGAGUAUACAUACGAGCAAGUAAAUAAGCAAAGAGAGUGGGCAGCGCCGCAAAUGCUCCAAAGCUACGCGUACAGAUACUGCGCUGACAGAUAGCUGGCUGACAAUGAAGGGGAAUUAACCUAUGACAACAGCAACAACGAAUAUGCCAAAUGCAGGCAAUGAUGAAUGAACGCACACAAAUACAGGCACAACAACAACUACGAAAAGAAGAACUAAACAUAAUCAUGCAAUAAGUGCUCGUAAUAAUAAUAAACAACCGAACGUCACUUAACGGGAAGACAUCAAUUUUGAUUCUUGAAUCGGCGCAAUGGCGUUUGCCGUAAGGCAUAUACCCGUACUACAAAAACAGUAAUAAUAACAACAACAUGUCCAUGGAAAAAGCUGUAAUAGAGAUGACGCAGACAUCGUUGACGACAUUGACAAAUGACAAGAUGGACAGUGCAGUGCCAACACGCCCUUCCUUGCGAACAACUUCAAAAAGUUCAACCGAAAAUCUUUGUACUGGCUAACAGAACCACUGCAUGCAGAGUGGCUCAUUUGCUGCUGGAAUGUCAUAUUUCAAAAAAGCAAAACAUCGAGGAAAACCACAGUUUUUAAUCUACUAUUCAAAAAAUUUUCGUCAGAAUUUCACACUUUUUACCAGAUUCGUUAGAAAAAUAUCGAGUACGGGA